AUGGCAGAAAAAGAUCCCGUGGAAAGUAACAAUGAUACAUUAAACGAAACUGCUAUAUUUGAAGCGCUAACGAAUGUAACUGAAGGUAAUGUAGAAAAUAUGGAUGAAAACGGGUCACCCUUUAGUAGUAUUUUGCAAAAUCGUAGAUUAAUGGGAUUAGAAGGCGCAGCAAGCUUAGCUGUAUUAUAUUUGGUAUUUAUUGUUUGGAUGAUUAUUUUGAUAUUUUUAUAUUUGCUUAUAAGUCGGAGGCUUUAUGGAAUGGUACGAUAUAUAAAAAAUUUAGUUAAUAUAUGUAUAUAUAUUUCAUUUGUAUAUAGGUGCAUAUACGUAAUUUAAUAUUUAUACAAUAAUAUGUUAUAUAUAUUUGAAUUAUUACAGCAAAGAUCGAAUAAAAAAAAAAGUUGAUCGUCGUAGAAAGAGAUA
rnacentral:lncRNA from 1 species